UUUGGAAUUCCUACGAUCAGCUUUCGUGCAUGGUGCUCUUCUGCAAUAGUUUCCUAUGCAAUCGUUAUAGAAGAAUAAAGGAAAUAACCUUGGGAUAGUGAUUCAAUAAAUAAUAGGUCCCCUGUCUAGAGCGCACGCGUCCUUGAGCCACGCAGGUGCAUGAGGACGUCAUACCGUGGCUUCACUGCAGAUUGACCUUGUCUAGAGGAGCAUUAGUGGAAAAAAACAGUGUAGCCCUGAGACAAUAGGAUGAUGUCUGGACCAAUGAGAACGGCCAGCAGGGGGCGCAGGAAUGCUCUUCUCUCUUAGCCUCUCGCAGGUGGCGGUAGGAGCGCGCAGAGGGCGCUACGAGCGCGCGCAUGCGUAGCACCCGUAGAGUGGCGCUUACGUCAGUCCACCUCUGGCUCUCGUUGGGAGAAGACGUGCGGUCGUUCGCUCCGUCGUCACUUGAUCCCUGGCUGUCGACGAGAGCGGACGCUCCGUCGCAGCGGGGAAAAAGAGCUACGAUGCUGGCGCCAUCUGGUGUGAUGCCUUGGAACUAGCGUGCCACCUGCCUCUGCAACCGUCGUGCUCCAGUCGCCCCGGCGUGAUUUCUUCAAGAUGGCGUCGUUGAUUUUCAAAUAAAUCAUUUCCUACUGUCUG